rnacentral:rRNA from 1 species
AUUGAACGCUGGCGGCAGGCCUAACACAUGCAAGUCGAACGAGUGGCGGACGGGUGAGUAAUGUAUGGGGAACUUACUGAUGGAGGGGGAUAACUACUGGAAACGGUAGCCAAUACCGCGUACUAUAGGAUUAGACCAAGUGGGAUUGGGUAGUUGGUGGGGUAAAGGCUCACAAAGGGGACGAUCUCUAACUGGUCUGAGAGGAUGACGAGCCACACGGGGACGGAGAACCGGCCCAGACUCCUACGGGAGGCAGCAGUGGGGAAUAUUGGGCAAUGGGGGCAACCCGGAGGCAGCCAUGCCGCGUGAAUGAAGAAGGCCUUCGGGUUGUAAAGUUCGUUCGGUAGGGAGGCGUUACCUACAGAAGAAGCACCGGCUAACUCCGUGCCAGCAGCCGCGGUAAUUC